rnacentral:rRNA from 1 species
UACGGAGGGUGCAAGCGUUAUCCGGAUUCACUGGGUUUAAAGGGUGCGUAGGCGGAUUUGUAAGUCCGCUGUGAAAUCCCCGAGCUCAACUUGGGAAUUGCAGUGGAUACUGGCAGGCUGGAGUACGGUAGAGGAAGGUGGAAUUCCCGGUGUAGCAGUGAAAUGCGUAGAGAUCGGGAGGAACACCAGUGGCGAAGGCGGCCUUCUGGACCAAUACUGACGCUCAUGCACGAAAGCGUGGGGAGCAAACAGG